GUUGAUGUAGCUUAAUUACAAAGCAAAGCACUGAAAAUGCUUAGAUGAGAUUAUAUUAACACUCCAUAAACA
rnacentral:tRNA from 1 species